GACGAACGCUGGCGGCGUGCUUAACACAUGCAAGUCGAACGGAAAGGCCCUGCUUUUGUGGGGUGCUCGAGUGGCGAACGGGUGAGUAACACGUGAGUAACCUUCCCUUGACUUUGGGAUAACUUCAGGCAACUGGGGCUAAUACCGGAUAGGAGCUCCUGCUGCAUGGUGGGGGUUGGAAAGUUUCGGCGGUUGGGGAUGGACUCGCGGCUUAUCAGCUUGUUGGUGGGGUAGUGGCUUACCAAGGCUUUGACGGGUAGCCGGCCUGAGAGGGUGACCGGCCACAUUGGGACUGAGAUACGGCCCAGACUCCUACGGGAGGCAGCAGUGGGGAAUAUUGCACAAUGGGCGGAAGCCUGAUGCAGCAACGCCGCGUGCGGGAUGACGGCCUUCGGGUUGUAAACCGCUUUCGCCUGUGACGAAGCGUGAGUGACGGUAAUGGGUAAAGAAGCACCGGCUAACUACGUG
rnacentral:rRNA from 1 species